rnacentral:rRNA from 1 species
GUGCCAGCAGCCGCGGUAAUACAGAGGGUGCUAACGUUGUUCGGAAUUACUGGGCAUAAAGCGCGCGCAGGCGGUCCGCUAAGUGUGGAGUGAAAGCCCACGGCUUACCCGUGGAAUGGCUCUGCAUACUGACGGACUAGAGGACGGUAGGGGAGAGCGGAACUCUUGGUGGAGCGGUGAAAUGCGUAGAUAUCAAGAGGAACACCGAUGGCGAAGGCAGCUCUCUGGUCCGUUUCUGACGCUGAGGCGCGAAAGCUAGGGUAGCAAACGGGAUUAGAUACCCCCGUAGUCC